CACACAUUGAGACUGAGACAGCCUCCUCUGCUUCAGGAGGAAGGACAAGAUCCAAACAAGAACAAAGGAAUGUGCCUUGUGCCUUCGAAAAAUGCCAUUGAAGCCCUUUUCAGAGACAACAGUUGCAAAAAGUAACAUGGAUUGAAUCACAAUGCAACGGAGAAGUCUGGGAUCACAGAAUGAAAGGUGGUUUAAUAUUGCCUUCUGGGCAGAGAAUUUCGUCUUGAUUACAAGCUGGCGAUUUAAGGUACCUGAGUGGCUCAGCAGUUGAGAGUCUGCCUUCUGCUCAGGGUGUGAUCCCAGGGUCCG